CCUACGGGGGGCAGCAGUAGGGAAUAUUGCUCAAUGGGCGAAACCCUGAAGCAGCAACGCCGCGUGGAGGAUGAAGGUUUUCGGAUUGUAAACUCCUUUUGUUAGAGAAGAUAAUGACGGUAUCUAACGAAUAAGCACCGGCUAACUCCGUGCCAGCAGCCGCGGUAAUACGGAGGGUGCAAGCGUUACUCGGAAUCACUGGGCGUAAAGCGCGAGUAGGCGGGAUAGCAAGUCAGAUGUGAAAUCCUAUGGCUUAACCAUAGAACUGCAUUUGAAACUGUUAGUCUAGAGUAUGGGAGAGGUAGGUGGAAUGCUUGGUGUAGGGGUAAAAUCCGUAGAGAUCAAGAGGAAUACUCAUUGCGAAGGCGACCUGCUAGAACAUAACUGACGCUGAUGCGCGAAAGCGUGGGGAGCAAACAGGAUUAGAUACCCGAGUAGUC
rnacentral:rRNA from 1 species